CGGUGGUGAUAUGAACAAGGCGCGAGUUCCCGCAUCUUCCAAGCUCAACACUGCACUAAAACCCCAAAACGAAGAAACAAAGAAACAAAAGAAAACAAAAAGAAACUAAACGAAAGGAAAACAAAACAAAGAAAAAGGUUGGGUUACCUCCCAACAAGUGCUUAAUUUAACGUCUAGAGCUCGACGAUACCUCAAAAACUCAUGGAGGUCGGAAACAGCACUCUAACCAUUGGAAAGCUUUUCUACUCUUAGGUGCCCUCUCCACCAAAACACUUUUCUUGGCUCGGACAUCCUCCACAAGCAUUGCCCCC
rnacentral:lncRNA from 1 species